CGGGGCGUAGCGCAGCCCGGUAGCGCAUCCCGCCAUGAGGCGGGAGGGUCGCCUUCGAGUCCAGUCACCCCGA
rnacentral:tRNA from 1 species